AGUGAACGCUGGCGGUAGGCCUAACACAUGCAAGUCGAACGGCAGCACAGUAAGAGCUUGCUCUUCCGGGUGCCGAGUGGCGAAGGGGUGGGGAUUACACCGGAAUUUACUUUUUGGUGGGGGUUAACGUAGGGAAACUUACGCUAUUACCCCAACCGACUUCCGGUUGAAAGCAGGGAAUCUUCGGACCUUGCCCGAUUGAAUGAGCGGAUGUCGGAUUAGCUAGUUGGCGGGGUAAAGGCCCACCAAGGCGACGAUCCGUAGCUGGUCUGAGAGGAUGAUCAGCCACACUGGAACUGAGACACGGUCCAGACUCCUACGGGAGGCAGCAGUGGGGAAUAUUGGACAAUGGGCGCAAGCCUGAUCCAGCCAUACCGCGUGGGUGAAGAAGGCCUUCGGGUUGUAAAGCCCUUUUGUUGGGAAAGAAAAGCAGCAGGUUAAUACCCCGCUGUUCUGACGGUACCCAAAGAAUAAGCACCGGCUAACUUCGUG
rnacentral:rRNA from 1 species